UACGAAGGGGGCUAGCGUUGUUCGGAUUUACUGGGCGUAAAGCGCACGUAGGCGGAUUGUUAAGUCAGGGGUGAAAUCCUGGAGCUCAACUCCAGAACUGCCUUUGAUACUGGCAAUCUUGAGUCCGGAAGAGGUGAGUGGAACUCCUAGUGUAGAGGUGGAAUUCGUAGAUAUUAGGAAGAACACCAGUGGCGAAGGCAGCCCCCUGGGCUGACACUGACGCUCAGGCACGAAAGCGUGGGGAGCAAACAGG
rnacentral:rRNA from 1 species